UUUUUUAAAGAAGUUCCAGGUUUACUAUGACUGGUGUAGCAAAAGUGUAUAGUGGGUUGAACAGUGACGCCCCCCCCAAAAUAUGUCCAUGUCCCAGAACCUGUGAGUGGGGCCUUAUUUGGAAACAGGAUCUUUGCAGUUAUAAUUAAAUAAAUGAUCUUGAGAUGACACCAUGCAGGAUUGUCUGGUGGGUCAAAAACCCACUGAUAAAUGUCCUCUGAAGAGAGGCACAGAAAAAAGAUAGACGUUAACAGGGCGGUGAUAGAUACUGCUGGGGGUCAAGGAACACCUAGAACUGUCAGAGGCUGGAGGGGACAAAGAAGGAUUCUUUCCUAGAGACUUUAGAGGGAGCUGCUGACACCUUCGUUUAAGAAUUCUGGCCUCCAGAACUGUGAGAGGACACAUUCCUGUUGUUUUAAACCACCCAGCUUGUGGUCAUUUGUCAUGGCAGACCUAGACAAUGACCACAGGCAGUUGCCUGAGUGAGUUAUUCUCAGUAUUAAUACGUGAGUGUAGACAGCCCAGCAGUAGUGAGCAAUGAAGUGCCUCACUGGGGUCCUGCUGUCACAGUGUGACCGCGUAGCAGCUCUGUGACCGCGGGCAUGUUACUGAAUCUCUCCUAGCCCCCGUUUCCUCAUACGGAGAAGUGACCGUGCGCUGAGACUAAGUGAAGUAACCCAUGUAAAACUCUUAGCACAGCAUUUGGCACGUUGAAGGUAUUCACUAGACAUGAGCUCUCAUCAGUAUGUAGCAGAAGAAAAAGGAAAAGGUUUUCUUUCUAACAGAAAACCGCAGCCUGCUUAGAAGCAAUCCCCAUAACUGACCGUGGCAAAAGCUGUGAAGUAUCUAGAAGACACUCUGCCCUGGAGAAAGAAGCACACGGUUUUCUCGACCGGGCUCUGUCCUGUGGAGCCAUCAGAGAAACACUCGGGAGGGCAGCAAACAAGAUGCCAGCUCCCAGCCUCAGAUGACCCCAAGAGAGGAAUGAUGGGCCAGAAUGAACACACCCAAGUUGAACAGAAAUUAAGUGUUAUGGUUUUGGUUCAAAGAGUCAAUUCCGGCUCCUGGAUUCAAAGAACUCAAACAGGAUGUGACUGAAACUGAGGCAGCGUACUUCCCCACCCCCAUACCACGCCAACAGGCACACUCAUCGUGCUGCAAGAGAUAACAAUCAGACUUUGGGCUUGUGGGAGAACAAACCCUGCCACAUCUGCUCCCAGCUGAGAUACAGCUUAGUGAAUGUGGAGACUCGCCUCCAGGCUGCCUUUGGCCUUGAAAAGUAUGGAAGGAAAAUCCUCCUCUGUGAUGGCGGUGAAUACAUGACUUUGACUUUAUUCCCCAUUUGUCACACUUCAGCCAUUUCUGUGCACAGCCAAGUGUGCAGGCUGCCCUUCUCCGAGGCUUACGGCACAGGGGGAAGUAACCUGGGUAGGUAGCUCGAAGGUCGUGAACACCCAGAACUGAGCUGUACCAAGACAUGGAAGGAGUUGGCAAGGUAUGAUAUGGCUGCUGCCUGGAUGAAACGUAAAGUUCCACAGCAAGGAGAAUGAAAGGAAAGUGGGUUUUGAGCCCUAUCUAGCAGCCUGAUUUGUUUACGACGUAAUUACGUUAAAGAUGAAAUCACACUGGAUUAGGAUGGGCUCUACAUCCAAUGACCGGUAUUCUUAUAAGAAGGCCAUGUAAAGAUGCAGAGACACACAGGAAAGAGGGCCAUGUGAUGAAAGACAGAGAGAUUAGAGGGACGCAAUCACAAGCCAAGGACUGCCAAGGACCGCCAGCAGCCACUGGAAGCAAGGGGGAGGCAUGGGAGAGAUUCUUCCGUCAGAGGCGCCAGAAGGAAACAACCCCGCCCAUACUCGGAUUCUGACCGUCUGGCCUCCUGAACCGUAAAAACAUAAAUUUCUGCUGUUUGUAAUCACUCCGUUUGUGACAAUUUGUUACUGCAGCCCUAGGAAACCAUCACAGGAAGCAAAAAAAUCUAGGCUGAAAAGAUUCUCUCUGAGUAGAAAGAGGAAAGAGAGUUGGGGUUUCGCAAGUAGCCCAGACCGCAGUGAGCCCUGGGAGGGCCACAGGCGGGGUGCGGCAGAACAGAGCUCUCUCCGUGGGGCAAGAAGACUGGAUUCUGAAACCCUAGGUUCUCAACUUCUGCAAAGGUCCCUUCAUGAGCGGGAGCAGGACCACAGCCACUCUGAAGGAGCUUUGCAGGUUCAGGGGAGAGCCAGCAUCAGCUCUGGCCACCGGAGCACAGAGGGCUGUUCCCAAAUGCUGCUUCAGGAAAACCCCUAGGACCUCCAUACCAUCGAAAGAUGAUCAUGUCAGAUUAGAAUGGAAUUUCCCACCAGCCCCAAGGAAAUGGGCGCAGAAUCAGAUUUAAGAUCCAAAAUGUGGCAUUUCUUAAACACUUGCGUUUAUAGAACAAUAUGCAUAUUCCCUGGGAGGGUUUUCAAGGAGACAACGUUCAAAUAAUCUUUACCGGUGAACCCUUUGGGGGUGUCUUUCUCAUCCACCAACCAGAGAAACCCCCAAGGGAUUUCAAGAGAGACAGUUACGAUACUCGG